AGAAAUUAAAAAAGAAAAAUCUGGGAAGACUUCUUCCAUUAUGAAGGAUAAAGAGAUUAUUAAAGUGAAAGAAGUGAAGGUCCCAGAUUCCCUAAAGGAAAAAGCACCUGAAACCAAAAAAGAUGAAAAGCUCCCCAAAGCAGGUGAGCCCACUUGGUGACGCUGACAUUUGGAUCAAUGCUGUCUUUGUCCGAACAAAGCUAUAGUCAUACGACUGGGGUAGGCGGACUUCAGGCACUCAAAAUAGUCAAAGACACCAAGCCCC